rfam:Angiostrongylus costaricensis strain Costa Rica genome assembly, scaffold: ACOC_contig0002184
GUCAUACUGGCGGAGUGGUACAAGGCGCUGCGUUUAGGUCGCAGUCCACUUCAGAGGGCGCAGGUUCUAAUCCUGAGAAUGACA